rnacentral:sRNA from 1 species
GUAGUCUUGACGUUAGCUAGCUGGCAUGGCGGCCUGUAUUGCAGCGGGGUACUGUGCUGCAAUGGGCCUAGGCCGGAGUUUCCAAGCCGCCAGGACUCUGCUCCCCAAGCCGGCCUCUAUCGCCUGCAGGGUCCACGCGGGGCCUGUCCGGCAGCAGAGCACUGGGCCUUCCGAGCCCGGUGCGUUCCAGCCGCCGCCGAAACCGGUCAUCUUGGACAAGCGCCGCCCCGUGGAACUGGAACGCAGGUGAGGCACUGCCCUGGCGCUAGACCGGCAGCUGGGGUCGGUGCGCGCGUGAGCGCGUUCGCGUUCGAGGUCCCGGCUCUAAGGUGGGGGCUGCACCUCCCCCUGCACGAGCAGGUGUGUAGGAUUCAAGAGCCAGCGCACCACACUGUUCUGUCUUUCUCACUUCUCCCCAAGCCAGCAUUGAACUUCUUUGCAGUUUUAUUGAGUCAGAACUUCAAGUAGGGAUUCCCCAUAUUUUAAACUCUUUCCUCCGUAGUAUUUGUCCUGUACCAGAGUUUUUCUCUGAGGUACAUCCUGCUUAUACCUGUUUACGUCCAAGAGCUGUUCUUUUCUCUCAAAAGACCCUUAACCCUGGAUAGGAAUCGAUUGGCCAACUUAAAAAAUUUGGUGUGGUUUAGGUUGGAAGUUUUGGCAGACAAAGCACAGUAAAACCCGCCACUAAAUUGUGUCUGAAACUUACUCAUCAAAACAGUG